rnacentral:rRNA from 1 species
ACGAACGCUGGCGGCGUGCCUAAUACAUGCAAGUCGAGCGGACGAAUCGAAAGCUUGCUUUUGAUUCGUUAGCGGCGGACGGGUGAGUAACACGUGGGCAACCUGCCCUGUAGACGGGGAUAACACCGAGAAAUCGGUGCUAAUACCGGAUAACACGAAAUGUCGCAUGACGUUUCGUUGAAAGACGGCGCAAGCUGUCGCUACAGGAUGGGCCCGCGGCGCAUUAGCUAGUUGGUGAGGUAACGGCUCACCAAGGCGACGAUGCGUAGCCGACCUGAGAGGGGGAUCGGCCACACUGGGACUGAGACACGGCCCAGACUCCUACGGGAGGCAGCAGUAGGGAAUCUUCCGCAAUGGACGAAAGUCUGACGGAGCAACGCCGCGUGAGCGAAGAAGGCCUUCGGGUCGUAAAGCUCUGUUGUUAGGGAAGAACAAGUAACGCAGUAACUGGCGUUACCGUGACGGUACCUAACGAGAAAGCCACGGCUAACUACGUG